AUGCCGCCGAAGCGCGCGUGCCGGCUGGCCCUGAUGCUCGCGGCGGCGGGGUACCUCUGCUUCCUCCUCUUCCUCGAGCUCCCCUCCGUCUCCGUCGCGCCGCUCGCCACCGCCGACCGCCCGCGCCGCCGCGAGCUCGAGGCCAGCUNNNNNNNNNNNNNNNNNNNNNNNNNNNNNNNNNNNNNNNNNNNNNNNNNNNNNNNNNNNNNNNACCAGCCCCGCCGCUCCCGCCUCGCGCUCUCCUCCAUCCGCUUCCGCCCCAACUCCUCCUCCUCCUCCGCCUCCUCCAUCGACGCCGCCGCCUCCUCCGCCUUCGCCGCCGCGGCUCCCCUCCUGCCACACCUCCUCUCCCCUUCCGCCGCCUCCUCCUCCUCAUCCCCUUCCCCCUCCCCGUCCGCCCCCGCGUCCUGCCCCGCCGCCGUCACCGUCCCACGCGACCGGCUCGCGAGCACCCCGGUGGCCGUGGAGCUGCCGUGCGGGAUGGCCGUCGGCUCGCGGGUCACCGUGGUGGCCCGGCCGAGGAGGAGGGACGGGGCCGCGUCGUCGCAGUUCAUGGUGGAGCUGCUGGGCACCAAGGCCGUGCAGGGGGAGGAGCCGCCCAGGAUACUCCACUUCAACCCCAGGAUGAGAGGCGACUUCACCGGCCGCCCCGUCAUCGAGCUCAACACCUGCUACCGCAUGCAGUGGGCUCUGCCACAGCGCUGCGAGGGCCCGGCGUCGCGGCCCGACGACGACAGAGUUGAUGGGGAAGUCAAGUGUGAGAAAUGGACUCGGGAUGAUGGCCCCAAGACAGAGGACUCGUCAAACAUAAAGUGGCUGCUCAACAGUUUGAUCGGCAAGCCGGAGCCAGACAAGGUCUCUGUCGAUCAGGCAUACCCCUUUGCAGAGGGCAAGCUGUUUGUCCUAACCAUCACAGCCGGUCUCGUGGGCUACCAUGUCAAUGUCGACGGGCGACAUGUUGCAUCCUUCCCUUACCGCACUGGUUACAAUCUCGAGGACGCGACGGGCCUGUCGUUGAACGGGGACCUUGACAUCGAGUCGACUUCUGCCGCCCAUCUGCCCAAAUCACACCCUAGCUUCGACCCACAGCGAUACCUCGAAAUGUCUGAACAGUGGAAGGCCUCACCUCUGCCGACUGAACCUGUCGAGCUGUUCAUCGGCAUCCUUUCUGCAGCCAACCAUUUCGCCGAGCGGAUGGCCGUUCGCAAGUCAUGGAUGAUUGCUACAAGGAGAUCAUCUAACAGUGUUGCCCGGUUCUUCGUCGCUCUGAAUGGGAAAAAAGAGGUCAACGAGGAGCUGAAGAAGGAGGCCGAGUUCUUUGGUGACAUUGUUCUGGUGCCUUUCAUGGAUAGCUAUGACCUUGUUGUUUUAAAGACUAUCGCCAUUGCUGAGUAUGGGGUGCGAGUUGUGCAAGCGAAAUACGUAAUGAAGUGUGACGACGACACAUUUGUUAGAAUUGACGCGGUGUUGGAUCAAGUGAAGAAAGUUAAGAAUGGGGGGAGCAUGUAUGUGGGGAACAUAAACUACUACCACAGGCCUCUGCGAUCUGGAAAGUGGGCUGUAACGUACGAGGAAUGGGAAGAGGAAGUAUACCCACCUUACGCAAACGGACCGGGCUAUGUGAUUUCAUCAGACAUCGCUGAGUACAUCGUAUCCGAGUUUGACAACCAGGCGCUGAGACUGUUCAAGAUGGAAGAUGUGAGCAUGGGCAUGUGGGUUCAGAAGUUCAGCAAGACUCGCCAACCAGUGGAGUAUUUGCACGACGUCAAGUUCUUCCAGGCCGGCUGCUUCGACGGCUACUACACCGCGCACUACCAGUCGCCGCAGCACAUGAUCUGCCUCUGGAGGAAGCUGCAGUCUGGGAGCGCUCAAUGCUGCAACGCCAGAUGA
rnacentral:rRNA from 1 species